AUUGAACGCUGGCAGCAUGCCUUACACAUGCAAGUCGAACGGUAACGGGCCUUCGGGUGCCGACGAGUGGCGAACGGGUGAGUAAUGCAUCGGAACGUACCUUUCAGUGGGGGAUAACGUAGCGAAAGUUACGCUAAUACCGCAUAUUCUGUGAGCAGGAAAGCAGGGGAUCGCAAGACCUUGCGCUGAUUGAGCGGCCGAUGUCAGAUUAGCUAGUUGGUGAGGUAAAGGCUCACCAAGGCGACGAUCUGUAGCGGGUCUGAGAGGAGGAUCCGCCACACUGGAACUGAGACACGGUCCAGACUCCUACGGGAGGCAGCAGUGGGGAAUUUUGGACAAUGGGGGCAACCCUGAUCCAGCCAUGCCGCGUGAGUGAAGAAGGCCUUCGGGUUGUAAAGCUCUUUCGGUCGGGAAGAAAUCGCAUGGGUUAAUACCCUGUGCGGAUGACGGUACCGGCAUAAGAAGCACCGGCUAACUACGUGCCAGCAGCCGCAGUAACAC
rnacentral:rRNA from 1 species